rnacentral:rRNA from 1 species
UACGAAGGGGGCUAGCGUUGCUCGGAAUCACUGGGCGUAAAGCGCACGUAGGCGGACUCGUAGGUCAGUUGUGAAAUACCUGGGCUCAACCCGGGAACUGCAGCUGAAACCGCUUGUCUUGAAUACCUGAGAGGGUGGGGGAAUACCUGGUGGAGAAGUGAAAUUCGUAGAGAUCAGGUGGAACACCGGAGGCGAAGGCGCCUGCCUGGCAGUGUAUUGACGCUGAGGUGCGAAAGUGCGGGGAGCAAACAGG